GGAGAAGUGAAAGCUGUCCCCAUAAACACCUGAGCCAGGGAUCUCUGUAGACCUUGAAGACGUGGUGCAGGCUGUCCCCCCCUGCAUCCACCUGGAUGGAGCUCAGCCCUUCUCUGGUUCCCCCCUUCAGCUAAAGCAGAUGGGUUUGUUUCUAGGUUCUCUAUACCAGGCAUCUCAUAGGUCUGGGCAGAACGGAGGCUGAUCCCAGGAAGCCUCAGCUGCACAGCGCAGAGCCCGAGCUGCCUCGCUGCCUCGCCCCCUCCUCCCGUGUUGCCCUGACCCCCUUUCUUACUUCCUCCCCUGCCCCCCCACCCUGAACAGCAAAAGUCCCCUCCUUUCCACUUGCAUAGUUUCAGGAUCAUCUUUUGAUGUUUUAUUUCUUGAGCAAGGUUUUGGAGUCUUUUUUUCUUUUAAAUUAGCUUUCUUUUAAAACGGUUUGAUGGAGAUGUCACUGACCUAGAAAUUGUGUCUAUUUAUGGCAGAUGGCUGGCUGCUUGAUGCAUGUGUGCCUUGUGAAAUGAUCACCGCCAUCCAGCUCUUUCAUGAUUACUAUGUGUGUGUGUGUAUGGAGAGACUUAACGUAAGGCCUGCCUCUCGGCAAUUUCACAUACACCAUAGAGUGUUGGUAACUAGUGUCCACAUGCUGUCCAACAGAUCUGUAGCACUUCUGCAUCUUGCAUAACUAAACUUCAUGCUGUUGGACCAACAUCGCCCCAUUUCCCUGACCCCAGGCCCUGGCCACCUCCCUUCAACUCUCUGCUUCUAUGAGUUUGAUUAUUUUAGGUUCCUCAUGAGAGUGAGAUCAUGUAGGUUUUAUAUUUCUGUGUCUUGCUCAUUUCACCAGGUACAGUGCUCC
rnacentral:lncRNA from 1 species